rnacentral:rRNA from 1 species
GACGAACGCUGGCGGCGCGCUUAACACAUGCAAGUCGAACGGAAAGGCCCUGCUUUUGUGGGGUGCUCGAGUGGCGAACGGGUGAGUAACACGUGAGUAACCUGCCCUUGACUGUGGGAUAACUUCAGGAAACUGGGGCUAAUACCGGAUAGGAGCUCCUGCUGCAUGGUGGGGGUUGGAAAGUUUCGGCGGGUGGGGAUGGACUCGCGGCUUAUCAGCUUGUUGGGGAGGUGGUGGCUUAACAAGGCUUUGACGGGUAGCCGGCCUGAGAGGGUGAGCCGCCUCAUUGCGACUGCCACACCUCCCAGACUCCUACGGCAGCCAGCAGUGGAUGAUAUUUCGCAUAGUGCGCAAGCCCGUUGCAACAUCGCGCCGCGCUGGCUGACGGCCAUCGGGUUGUAAACCGCUUUCGCCUGUGACGAAGCUUGCGUCCCGGUAAUGGGUAUAAAGCCCCCGGCUAACUACGUG